rnacentral:rRNA from 1 species
UUUAAGCUCGUACCUUUUGCAUCAUGAUUUAGCCAGAAAAACCCAAGCAAAGAGCCCUUUAGUUUGGUUCCCCGAAACUAAGUGAGCUACUCCAAGACAGCCUAUUAAUAGGGCAAACCCGUCCCUGUGGCAAAAGGGUGGGAAGAGCUUUGAGUAGAGGUGACAAACCUACCGAACUUAGUUAUAGCUGGUUGCCUGAGAAUUGAAUAGAAGUUCAGCCUCUCGGCUUCUCCCCAAACCGCGAGAGUUACUCAAAGGGGGUACAGCCCCUUUGAGACAAGACACAACUUUACCAGGAGGGUAAAGAUCAUAAUAACAUAAAGGUAAAAUGUUCUGGUGGGCCUAAAAGCAGCCAUCCCUAUAGAAAGCGUUAAAGCUCAGACAUACUAUACUGAUAAUCCAAUCUUAACCCCCUAGCCCUACCAGGCCAUCCCAUGCAAACAUGGGAGCGACUAUGCUAAUAUGAGUAAUAAGAGAGGCCUCUCUCCUUGCACACGUGUAAAUCGGAAUGGACCCCCCACCGAAUCUUAACGGCCCCAAACAAAGAGGGAACUGAACAACAACCAGAAAACCAUCCACCGUUAACCCCACACUGGUGUGCCCCUAAGGAAAGACUAAAAGAAAAAGAAGGAACUCGGCAAACAAGCCUCGCCUGUUUACCAAAAACAUCGCCUCUUGCAGGAAUAAGAGGUCCCGCCUGCCCUGUGACUAUAUGUUUAACGGCCGCGGUAUUUUGACCGUGCGAAGGUAGCGCAAUCACUUGUCUUUUAAAUGGAGACCUGUAUGAAUGGCAUAACGAGGGCUUAGCUGUCUCCUUUUUCAAGUCAAUGAAAUUGAUCUCCCCGUGCAGAAGCGGGGAUAACACCAUAAGACGAGAAGACCCUAUGGAGCUUUAGACACCAAGGCAGAUCAUGUUAAACACCCCUUCACAAAGGACUAAACCAGAUGAACCCUGCCCUAAUGUCUUUGGUUGGGGCGACCGCGGGGAAACAAAAAACCCCCACGUGGAAUGGGAAUAUUCCUACAACUAAGAGCUCCCGCUCUAAUGACCAGAACUUCUGACCAAUCAGAUCCGGCAACGCCGAUCAACGAACCGAGUUACCCUAGGGAUAACAGCGCAAUCCCCUUUUAGAGCCCAUAUCGACAAGGGGGUUUACGACCUCGAUGUUGGAUCAGGAC